rnacentral:tRNA from 1 species
GAGAAUGUGGCUCAGUGACAGAGCAUCUGUUUUGCAUGCAGAAGAUCCCAGGUUCAGUCCUGGGCAUUUCCA